rnacentral:lncRNA from 1 species
UUAAGUGCUUGGGAAAAGAGAUGUAAGAGCCGUGGGAGUUUAUAUAAUUAGCAAAUUCUUUUCUUAGAAUCCAGCAAAAGAUGUAUCUCUGUUGUUAUUAUUUACAAAACAGUGGCCUCGGAGGAGCUGUCUCUUGGAAAAUAAGUUUUCAUUCAUGUAGUCAAGACAUGCACGACUUAUUUGAGUCAAUAAACUGUGGGCCAGAAAAUGACGGCUUAAAAUGAGUGCACAUUUUCUCAUUCUCUUUCAACGCUGUUCUCCAUCUCUCGGAUUCCUCCCCCCCCCCCCCGUGAUCUUUGUUGCUUCUGCUCUUUGAUUAAACAGAUGAGACCACGUGAGACCCAUGGUUUCAAAAGAGACUCAAAAGCAAUGACAACACACACGAGUGACUUAGCAAUGGCCCGAACAUGGUGUGGGCCCACGAGCCUGUCUGCACUGACCUUGGGGAGUUUGAAGCAAAAUCAAGGUUCCACAGGAGGCCACAGGCCACUGGUGAAUGGACCACAUGGUCUGAUCCAAAUAGGAACCUUGUUCCAACAAAACAGCCAGAGGUCUUGGAAUUAGACCCCAGUGCCUUUGUAGGAAGCAAGCCAGAGCUACUAUCUGGAGGACAGAGGAAGGAAUUUCUUUUUAGAGAUUCGCAAACCACAAAACAGCUGGGAAUUUGGUUAGAUACCCUUGGAAGCGGUGUUUUACUCUCAUCCCUAAGAUAAGCAUCUUGUGUGUAGCUCUGAUACUCGACUUUGACACAGCCUUUAUUCUCUAGUGACCAUUUGUUUGAAGCCUGUUGUCUGGAAUUCUUCAAGAUGACUAUGCCUUUGCAAUACAUCCUCAUUGCAGAGGCCUUAAAUCUGUGCGGUUGGCCACUGCCUCCAUCCUGGGAUGUAUUCAGCGGGACAUUUCCUUUCGCAAGGAUCGUUAUCUUAAGAUAUUGGCGGAGUCCCUUCUCUUUCAUAGGGAUGAUUGAUAACCCCAGUCCCCACCCUUGCUUCUUGUUGCCCACGUAUUUUUCAGAGUUCUUACUCAUCAGUUCUUUAUCCGAAGCAUUCUAAAUUUAAGUCCUACCCAAAUUAAUUCUUGUUCUGUCUGAUGCCUGUUGUGCAUGUAACCCUGGCUGUUUGAAGGCGGAGAAGUCUCUCCGCAGAGCCAGGCGAUCUGAGGGUGAUGCUAAUCCAGGAGUAGAAAGUUCAUCCCUCCAGCCCUCCCCCGAGCUGCCUCUUCUUAGCUUGGGGAUUGUCUUGUCUGCUGCAUCCUCGCCAGGCAUCCCUUUGUUGUUCUCAGUGCUCUCUGACGAGCUUCCCCUCCCUUCCGGAGAGACAGCCUGGGUUGUUCAGCGGGAGGCACCACCUGCACUUCUGAUGGUUCUGAGACCCAGCCCAGAGGGGUGGGGAAGGCUCGCAAGCCCUGCUUCAAUAAACUGCCUGCAGAGAACCGCAGCCUGAUAACAGUCAUCGAGGUCCCAGCCCCCUGAGGUCUCCAGGCUCAUUUGACCAGCGCAGCUGCGACUUCGGCUGUCUGCCUCUGGCAGGUGCCAAUAUCAGCAUCCUGUCCCGCUGCCACGGGGAGUUUAUUUUCGCUCAAGGGCAGCUGCCAAACCCAGCACCCGCAUCAAUGGAAGGUUUUCUCUGAUUUUCUUCUCUUUAUCCCAGGUCCAGCUUUCUUACCCCUCAUUUUCCAUUUUGUCGGAAGUGCCAAGAGACCCUCAGCCCCUUCCUUCUUUACAACACUCUUCUCACUCAUCCUAGCAGCUUCCCUGGCAGAAAGCAUGACCCAUAGUAGGAAGUUAAACAAUGCUGCAUGAAUGAAAAACUUUAGGGCAUGGAGGGCUUCAUUCGUCAUCCAGGAGCAGGUGGCCCAUUUGCACCAACUGGUGGCGCUUCAGCAUCAGUGCUAAAGGUAUCCCCCUGAGAUUAUUGAGGGGACCUGGGAGAAGGGGUUUUUAAAAAGUGUUAGAAGCAAAGCAGCUUUCAAUCUGUCUGCUGUGUUCCCCGCCGAGAGAUGAAAAACUAGUAUUUGUUCCCAGGAAGAGCUAAGCCUGCCCAGCCAGGCCCAGCAGGCUCACAACAUCCACCAGAAAGGAUGAGACCCCAAAUGGGUGGCCUUUGGGGGGAAUUAGCCAGUGAGUCUGGUGGUAUUUUAAUCUGCCUCAAGUGCAGGAUGCUGGCAAGAAAAAUGGACCGCUCCACCAGUCCCUGACCAAGCCUCUGGCAGCAUCAGCGGCUUAGGCGCUUAACACUUCAGCAGGUUUAUGAAACAUCUACUGUACUUGAACAAACCAUCAUUUGGGGCUGAAGCUCUGGCACGAGUAACUUGAGAAUAGAGGGCCUUCUGACCAUAGCUUAGGGGGACAACUGGCUUUUCCAGACUGGCAGAAUCCUUCCCUUUGAUUUUCCUUUGGAAAAUCUAUUUAUUCUCUCCCUAAAUAGUUGCAGAAGCUGUUUUUCAGACUCCUUCGCUAAGAGUAAAGUCCAGGUCCAUGUGCAUACACCCCCCCACACACAAGCCCACCCAUCACAAAGCAGGCAGGUAUACCCACCCUCCGCCUGUGCCCAAAAGGCCACUACGGAGAACCGAGGAGGGUCACCCCUUUGAGCCUCAGAGGCCAUGAGCAUGGCCAGGUCUAUGAGCCAGUGGGACGUCGGAGCUGUCAGGUACCAGCCAUGGUGCUAGUGGGCCUAGGAGACACCUCUGCAGUUCACCAGGCACAUCACAGAUCUGAGAACCAGAGUAAACGGGAAGGAGGGACUGGAACACGCAGCGGAGGCCCCCAGUGUAGGAAACAGGGCUGUUGGAAGUCAGUGACAUCCUCUCAUCUGUCACGGGGUCGGCGGGGCGUCUGCAGAGACCCAGGUGAAGGCACUCAGCUUUCUUGGCACAGUGACACUUAAGGCGCCAUCGUUAAAGCUGCCCCCCCACCCCGCCCCGUGUCGCAACUGCUGCGGGGCGGUUAAGAUCCAGCGUUAUCUUCCUGGCAUGCAAAGCGUGCUUGAUCUGGAAUUGGGUUUUUCAUUUUUUAGCUUUAGCUGAAGGCAUUUCUGAAAUGUGAGGAAGUGAGGGGGGCACAGGGGAAGAGAAUGGCAACGGUAGAACCACAUCACUGAUCGCCCUGCCUUCUCUGGCUAUGGUCUUAGCGUAAUCAGACAUUUCUGAUGUGCUUUUCUGGAUUCAGAAAAAGCUGGUUGUCCUCAGAGGGUUGAAGAAGGGGUUUCAGAAACCUGAAAUCCUGGGUCUUAUACUUCUCCUAAUUAUCUGUCUUUUCUUUUUCUCUCCCUUCUCUCCCCCACGGGAGGUAGGGAAACACUUUUUUUACCAGAGUUGGCUUUAAAGAGGUUUCUCAUCCUCUGUGCAUUUUCCCUUGAUAUUGAAAUUAUUUUCUCUUGUUUAAUCCAGAGCCUGCUGAGAAGCUCUGUGAGCGGUAGGAAGUGAGGUGGGUUUGCUCUAUUUUUUGGAUGGUGUUGCAUUUUUACGCUUAACCCGAGGGUGUGUCUCAGUUAUGCUCACUCUGUUUCAUACAAGUUAACGGUGGAGGUGGAAGAGAGUCAGGAUUCUGGGUUUUAGGAUCGGUUUAGCAUUCUGUCCUGGGAGAGGGGUUCAGACACCCAGCCUCAUCAAAGCUGGGGUGAGGGGUAGAGCGAGGGCCACUUAAGCCCCCAAUUAGGGGAGGGCACAUAGAAGCAGCUCUCCUUCCGGUUGCCACUUUAUAUCGUGUGUUUCCUGAGUUUCCAUGUGUAUAUUUCAUCGUCUUGUGUAUCUGCUUCCUGAGGGGUCUGGAACAUUCUCCUGGAGUCCCUCCCACAUGGCUUCCUCACACAGCUGUUUGCAACAUGCUUUAUUGCCGUCACCCACAGGACACCAUCUCUACGCAGAAGUAUACAUUUUGCUCUUUGGACUUUGAAAGUAGUUUUUUGACGAUUAGACUUUCUGUUAGCAUAUUGCUCAAGCAUUACAGAAUGUAUGUACCUAGUCCCCUCAACCAUCUCCUCCGCCCCGGGAUGUUCUAAUAAAAGUUGUUUUCUUUUUC